rnacentral:rRNA from 1 species
UGCAUGGCUGUCGUCAGCUCGUGUCGUGAGAUGUUGGGUUAAGUCCCGCAACGAGCGCAACCCUUGUCCUGUGUUGCCAGCACGUGAUGGUGGGGACUCGCAGGAGACUGCCGGGGUCAACUCGGAGGAAGGUGGGGACGACGUCAAGUCAUCAUGCCCCUUAUGUCCAGGGCUUCACACAUGCUACAAUGGUCGGUACAGAGGGCUGCGAUACCGUGAGGUGGAGCGAAUCCCUUAAAGCCGGUCUCAGUUCGGAUCGGGGUCUGCAACUCGACCCCGUGAAGUCGGAGUCGCUAGUAAUCGCAGAUCAGCAACGCUGCGGUGAAUACGUUCCCGGGUCUUGUACACACCGA